rnacentral:rRNA from 1 species
AACAUCGCGAGGUGAAGCAAAUCCCAAAAAAAGUGUCUCAGUUCAGAUUGUAGGCUGCAACUCGCCUACAUGAAGUCGGAAUUGCUAGUAAUCGCGGAUCAGCAUGCCGCGGUGAAUACGUUCCCGGGCCUUGUACACACCGCCCCGUCACACCAUGAGAGCCGGUAACACCCGAAGUCAGUAGCCUAACCGCAAGGGGGGCGCUGCCGAAGGUGGGAUUGGUAAUUGGGGUGAAGUCGUAACAAGGUACC